GACCACUCUGAUUGCAGAGUCUAGGCCAUACGGACAGCCGGGUCCACUGCCGA
rnacentral:sRNA from 1 species